rnacentral:rRNA from 1 species
GAUGAACGCUGGCGGCGUGCCUAAUACAUGCCAGUAGAACGCUGAAGGAAGGAGCUUGCUCUUUCCGGAUGAGUUGCGAACGGGUGAGUAACGCGUAGGUAACCUGCCUGGUAGCGGGGGAUAACUAUUGGAAACGAUAGCUAAUACCGCAUAACAGUAGAUGUUGCAUGAUAUCUACUUAAAAGGUGCAAUUGCACCACUACCAGAUGGACCUGCGUUGUAUUAGCUAGUUGGUGAGGUAACGGCUCACCAAGGCGACGAUACAUAGCCGACCUGAGAGGGUGAUCGGCCACACUGGGACGGAGACACGGCCCAGACUCCUACGGGAGGCAGCAGUAGGGAAUCUUCGGCAAUGGACGGAAGUCUGACCGAGCAACGCCGCGUGAGUGAAGAAGGUUUUCGAAUCGUAAAGCUCUGUUGUAAGAGAAGAACGAGUGUGAGAGUGGAAAGUUCACACUGUGACGGUAUCUUACCAGAAAGGGACGGCUAACUACGUG